UACGGGGGGGGCAAGCGUUGUUCGGAAUUACUGGGCGUAAAGGGUUUGUAGGUGGCUUGUUAAGUCAGACGUGAAAUCCCUCAGCUUAACUGGGGAACUGCGUCUGAUACUGGGUGGCUUGAAUCCGGGAGAGGGAUGCGGAAUUCCAGGUGUAGCGGUGAAAUGCGUAGAUAUCAGGAGGAACACCGAUGGCGAAGGCAGGUCUCUGGGCAUUAACUGACGCUGAGGAGCGAAAGCAUGGGGAGCGAACAGG
rnacentral:rRNA from 1 species